CACUUCUGAUUUAUAACUUGCCAUUAACCCCUGCAAUUCUCUCCAGCUUCAGUAUUUCCUCCUCCUCCUCCUCCUUCUCAUAAAUCUUGCUUCCAAGUUCCGAACUCCAACACAUCCCUUACCCUAAUAUUGAUAAAAUUUUAGAAUCAAAGAAAAGCUUGAAAGUAAGAAUGACAUGGUAUCAGUUGGUAUGUAUGCUUGUUUGAUCUUCUUAAUAUUCUGUUUGCAGUUGCAGACCCCGCUGUGGUGAACUUUUGAGAUUAAUGGCUGUAGAUGGAAGAAAAUCUCUGCAUGAAAACGAAAACCCUACAUUUUCCGGCAACAGUAGCCUCUAUGAAAUCAAACGGUUUAGCUCGUCAAAGAUUAGGAUGGGCUAAUUACAACCGUAAGAUUAUAAAUCCACAUCUGAUCUGCCUUUUGUUUUCCAUUUCAGCUUAACUCUAUGCCGAUCAUGUUUUUAAAUUUUUCUUUUUCAGGCUCAUUAUCGGAGUGGGAGUAGCUCAUCAAGGGACGUGCAAAUCAAGUUCCUAAUUGGAUCGCUCUUGAUGCACAUAUAAUUAUAUAUUGGCGUCUGUAAUAUAACCUUCAGCCGACCCCACUUAGUGGGAAAAGGCUUUGUUGUUGUUGUUGUCUGUAAUAUAACCUUCAAAUUACAAAUUCGACACUGGUGAACAUGCGCAUCAGUUUUAGUGAUAAACCAUACAAGGAAAGGAAAUCUCUCCUCUCUCUUCAUUCUCUAUGGUAUUUUUUUCCCGACAGUACAGAAGAGUGUAAAUUGACAUUUCGGAGUGCCAGUAUCAGCGUUUGGACACAAGGGAACGAUCAACAGUUGGUUGUGAGCUUUUGUUUUUUAACAACCACAUCCUUCAUGUGACGGUUCAGUUACAGUUCAUGGUAUUAGUAUUUCUUAGUCUUUAGAGGUUUAAGGGCAAGGGUUCUGAAUCUUAACCCGAGACAUCCGCCAUAUCAAACCAGAAAACCCAAGAAACUGACAUUUCCGCUCACUUCUGAAAACCCCUAUGAUUCGAUCUUCGGCGGUGGAUGGAGCCACGGCGCCACACAGGGCAGCUUCUGUUCCUCGAGCACAGCUAUCAAGGUGAAGUUCCAUUCCGGCAAAGACACAGCAGCGGCUGAUAGGCACAAGGACGAACUGG
rnacentral:lncRNA from 1 species